CACCUUAGGUCCACAUCCCAUGACCGGCAGGACCCUAAUUUCAACUCCGCCACAAGGAAAUUCUCUACCCAUCCCUUUAUAGAAUCCUUGUAGCCCGUAAGAAGAGACAGCCCAUUACGGGGGGAAAAGUAAUAGAAGUUUUGCUUCGCCCUAACCAGGCGGAAAAAUGUGACAAACAGACAGGCCGUAGGGGCGAAACCCAAACCCAGACAGAUAGACUCGAAACAGGACAUGAACAAAAUGGAAUUCGGGGAUAACAUUCGAGGAGUUACCCCAAAGUAUUCAAACACCUCAACAAAGAAAG
rnacentral:lncRNA from 1 species